rnacentral:misc_RNA from 1 species
GACGGAGGAAGCAAGCGUUAUCCGGAAUUACUGGGCGUAAAGAGUUACGUAGGCGGUCUGUUAAGCAAAACGUGAAAUCGCAUGGCUCAACCAUGCGCUUGUGUUUUGAACUGACAGACUAGAGCAUGAGAGAGGUAGCUGGAAUUCCCGGUGUAGGAGUGAAAUCCGUAGAUAUCGGGAGGAACACCAACGGCGAAGGCAGGCUACUGGCUCAUUGCUGACGCUCAGGUACGAAAGCGUGGGGAGCGAACGGG